AUGUGAUUCAGCGAAGGAAAACAUUUUUUUCUUUGUGUUAUGUGGCUCUCUGGCAAUAAGUCUCACCGUCGUAGUGGUCCUUGUUUGUGUUAUCAGGAAAAAUGUCUGUUACUGUUGCAAAGCUUCUGUGUCUCUGCGAGCCAAAGCUGAAAUGAUCAGUGGUGAACAGAAAAAUCAGCAGGAGGUAAAUCAGGAGUCUGUGAUUUAUUCUGAAGACGUCUUUAUCCGGAGGAAAGGAAACAAAGCAGCGAGGAGAAAUGUCCAAGUAGAUGAAGAGACGAUCUACAGUGAUGUCAGGGUUUGAUUAAGACAAACGCUGGAUUUAAGUAGCGUACAUUUAGUGUGAACCAUAUUCCUAUGUUGUUGUUUUUUUAAGCCCUGCAGAUAGUGUUACUGGUAUUAAAGUAAUAAUGCUGAUUGUAUAACUAUCCCUAUGUUAUAAACUAUGUGGUAUUUGAUAAUGAAAUAUUCUAAAAUGGCUUUUGAUACUUCUAAUGUCAGGGUUUAAUUAAGAUUAAGAUUUCCAUGUAAAUAUGGCGUGUCUAUCCUUGUUAUUUUUCCCGAAACUCUGCAAAUUGUGUUAUUGGUAUGACUGUAAUGAACGCUCUGCUGUUUUUCUAACUAUCUCUGUAUUAUAAUCUAUGCGGUAUUUGAUUAUGAAAUGUCCUAAAAAGGCUUCUGAUAAUUCUGCCCACUUUGGCUUUUUGGAAGACGUAUCUUGAAGGAAUUCUCCUUUUCCAGUUUG